CGCUUUUUCUUAUAUUCUUUCCUCUCUUCCAUCCUGCUCAAGGUUCAUUAGCAGCGGUUCUUCUGAGCAGGUUUCUGCAACUCUCGGAUCUGUAUCCCCCAAUGCUUCAGUCUGUAUAUUGAACCCUUCUUUAUAUCGAUUGCUCAAGCUGUCCCAACACCGAAUGAGUAUCUCCCAACUACAUAUAACUAGAAAAAGCCCUCUCAAGAACCGGAAUCCAAACACAUCAAACCUUCCUAAACUACAAACUCAUUGCAAAAUCUAAACUCGGCUCACCAUCAACAGUACACCUCUCAAACAACCUCGAUGCUCGCAAUGCGUAAUCCAACGCCUUACUCGGUCCAUCACUUGACGCAAUUGUAUCACGCGCAAGUUUUAACAGAAACAGUCCAAGGUCAGGAUUAUCAAGCGAAGUGUCAACGAUUAAAGGCGUCUCAGGCGAUUUCUUUUUUCCCGAUCCACGAUCCGACGACGGUUUUGCACGAGAAGUCGAUGGAGAAGGCGAUGCAGGUCUUCUAGGCAUCGGCGAUGCAGAUUUCAUGUUCAAUGAUUCAGAUCUCUCGGAAGUAGAGCCGAUAUGAUGACUGUCAUCGGAAACUGCAAUUCGUAGAGGUGGAACUUCCGGUGGUGUCUUCACUGAUACUAAACCUGGCAUGAUUCAACACUCUAGAAGACUACAAAUGCUACAGAAUGAUAGAAAUGUACCUUUCGAUUCUUUUCACAGUAAAUUAUGCACCAAAUCUUAGAAAUUAGAACAUUCCACCAUUAUCAAUGAUCAUAGUGUUGUUGAAACCAUUCCACCCAUCUUCUUCUUCUCCCAUGGAUCCUUACAAGUACAUUCCAUCGUCCUCUUUCGAUUCUCCUUUCUGGACAACUAAUUCUGGUGUACCCGUUUACAAUAAUGAUUCUUCAUUGACUGUUGAAACUAGAGGUGUUGAAAAGGACACUAAUCAAUUGCUGAAAAAUGGCGAAUAUACAUAACUGGCAUAUUGGAAAAGGCACAUCACUAUUUUUUUUCUUCAUUUUGAUUGCUGAUUCUGAUUUAGCAUAAUUGCUUUUUGUAGAUGAAAGGCAAGGAUAAAGAUUACAGAUACAUGGCAACUUCUGAUUUAUAAGAGAAGUCACUACUCAAGUUCAAGGAACGAACACCGAGAUAAAGUGUGAAUGUCUUGAUAUUCUCUGUGAUGUUCUUCAUAAGUAUGGAAGUCUCAUGGUUUUAGACCAUGAACUUCUUCUAGGUUCAUUAUUGCCACAGCUAAGCUUGAACCAAGAGAGUGUUAGGAAGAAGACUAUUUCUUGUAUAAGUAAGAACAAGAAAGAACCAGGUUCUUGAUGUGGAAUGCUCCCAUCUCUAAAGUCAUGAUGUGGCAUGUUUUUUAUAUUACCUUUGCCUUGUUUGUUUUAUUUCGGGUUAUUUGGGUUAAAUGACCAACAUUUUUUUAAUAAAUAAAUGUCUAUGGCGAUU